CGUCCCCAUUUCAAGAUAACGCCAUAAAUCAGUACGUACACUGCAUGCAUUAUUGGAGGUGUAACACCCUGGUCUCUUGUCCACUUAAAAGCAGCGUCCAUGAACUCCCAAAAAUCUAAAUCAAGGGAGUAUACGACAUUUGUAAGAAAUCUAUGAAAUUUUGCCCAUCUGAAAAACUCAUAACACCGUCUCUCCCACAGACAAUGAGUAACUCCGUCCUCGCGUCCCCAUCUGUGCCAGAAUUCAAUAACUUCCUUCUCUGACGCAGUAAACGGAACCUGAGCUUCCGAAGCCUCAAUAAUUUCUUUGUACCUCCGGCGGAAGAAGCCCAUCUGCAAAUCAGAAGAGAUGACAGUGACCUGUACAACAGCUUUGGAGAAUUUUGAAUUCCCUUUGGAUGUUAAGGAAAGCGUGUUGUUGCUAUGUCUGCCAGGUUCUCCUCAGUGCAGUCCACACCAUGGUAAGAAUUAAAUAAAAGACUUUUAACAUGAUCUUUCAGAGAUCUGCCCUGAUGGUGGACAGUCAUAAGUGGCAUGGAAUGUGAGAGAAAAAUGCCCAGUUGUUGGAGGAAUCUACUCCAAUGACUUGGGAGUUCCUCCCUGAAACACUACAGGACCCCGAUGAAGUGGCAGAAUAUUUGGAAGGAGAAUGCUGUGGCAAUUCCAGACAGGAGCAAUUUAUUGCAAUGUGCUGGGCCCAGAUUAUGAUUUAUUGGACACUGCACUGUACUAGGUAACACCCUCAGGUGGAGGGGAAUGAAAACCCACAAGCAGGCCACUGCAGCUGAACCAGAUGAACAACUUGUGCUGGCAGCAGGUGCCCCUAUAAAGAAAUUCAAGACAAAUUUAGUUCACUUAGUGAGGGAUAAAGAGGAAUAGGGCACUCACAACAGGAGGAAGAAGCAGGGCCAGAGAGAAUCACUGAUCCCUACCCUCAGGUGAGCUGCAAGAAAUGCAAAAACAUUUCAGUCACCCUUCAGGAGAGCCCUUUGUGACCUGCCAGUUCUGAUGCUGGGAUAUCACAAUAUGCAAUAUGAAACUAUUGGUAGUUUCAUGCAAUAUGAAACUAUUGGUAGAUGGUAGUGAAGCCAAGCAGUUGGGAUCCCUGUUCUAGGAUGUAGGCAUUGGCAAGAGGAUUGGAAAGAGGACAGAAACUCUCAGUGUCUAGAAACAACAUCUGUCAAGCAUGAGGGAAGAGUAUUCUCUCAUGGAUGACCUAAUAGUGCACCAAGACAAGUGGAAUGUCCUGGAGAAAGGUAUUCAGGACCUGAUAGAAUUAGCUGUGCUGGAGGUAAUCUCGAGGGAUCCAAAUAACAAACAGUCCCCUGUAGAUCCAGAUCGGAUCCAGUGUACACAAUCCAUGUGGCAGAAGUUUCUAUGGCAUGUGCCAUCAUUGUACACCAACCCUUUGGCAUUGAUGUCAAUGAAAGAAGAAACACUGCUUCAGGUGAUCACCCGACUUUGACAAUAUGAAGUUAUUUUUUCCUCCCUACCAACCUGUGCCUCGGCUGUGAAAAGACUGAACAAGACUGCAGACAGACUUGCAAGACUCAAGCAACCUAGAGAGAAAAUGUCCCAUGCCCCUGCCAGUACGGACCAGAAUCUCUGCUAUUGGGAGCAUGUACCCUUCUGCUGGAGAGAGGGGUACACACCCCGAGGUAACCUGCAGUUUUACCUGCACAACCACAGAGAGGACACAAGAAAGUGGGAUGGAAAAACCCACCUCUGCCCUAACAGCAGGGGUACAUUAAUUGAGAAGAAGAACAACCACCAACGGAAAUUCUUCAAUGAUAACCCAGUUUCCAGUGGACAAGUCUUCAGACAGAAUGGAAGGGCUGAAUGUUAUUUCUGAUCCUCUUGAAGAGAUCUCCAGUUCAUGUCUGCAAGAACUGAGCAAUGACUGCCAUGACCAGAACUACAGGGGCCUUGCCUCCAGCCAUGUGGAAGAAAGGGGGGGAUCAGAUCUAUUGGAUUGUGUGGAUCCCAUGGCCUGGCACAUCAGACCCACAAGAGUAAUAGGGCCCUUUAUUUGACACUGGCACACAGUGUACCCUGAUGCCAUCAAGAUGUGUAGGGGCAUGAUCUAUCUCUAUUUCUGGGGUGACAGAGGGGUCCCAAGAGGCCCUGAGGUGACCCUGACUGGGAAUGAAUGGCAAAAUCACCCCAUUCUGAUUUGCCCAGACAUCCCAUGCAGCCUUGGCAAAGAUUAACUCAGGAGAGGCUAUUUCAACGACUCAAAAGGAUUGAUGGGGUUUGUUGGUUCCGAGCCGGAGGGAAUGGUUGGGCUGUGGUUGGGCCAGGUUGGACUCAGUGAGCCUUUUGCAUGUGAAUUACUCUCUUUCUUUUAUACACUUUUGUUAUUAGUAUUGUUGCUGUUGCUGUUUGUUUUCUCUACCUCAUUUCUGUUUCCAGUAAAUUAUCUCAGCCUGUGAUCUUUAGCUUUGCUUCCACUCCUCUCCAGCCCACCAUAAGGGAGCAAGUAGUGGGAGGGAGGAACGAAAGGCUCAAGGUUUUAGUGGGAACACUAAAUUAGAGAAUACAUACCUAAAUCACAUUGCCUGCAACUACUUCAUAAAUGCACAGUAGGUAGACAUACAUAUAAAUGCUCAUUAUCUCAAUGUUACAAAGGUUCCAUGACCUGAAUGCCCCCCUGAAUAACUGGAAUUAAACCUUAAAAGUAAUUUCUUCAUCCAUUCUUGUGCACAGACUGUGAAUAUAGUAUCUUUCCCAUGUAUCAUAAGCAAAGCUUCAUCUGUUGCAACAUAUGUGCAAACGCGUAGAUAAUGGUGUUUCUGUUCUGAAAAAUCAACUCACAGAAGUGACUCUGUUGAAUUUUUUCACUUCCUAGCCUUUUUCAGAACACUGUAUGAAAGGAUUCAGAAACAGAGAAUUGGAGAGGAGUUUCUGUAGUUCCCAACUCUUCAAACUUACUCAAAAAGUGAGAUAAAAUUCUUUGUUUAGCAGAAAAAUAUAAUUACUAGUAAUUUUUGUACUUGGACCCACAAAUUAUACCAGUGCAAAGAAUUUAUUUUUGAGAAGACAUCCUCAAGAUUGCACCAUCAUUAAAUCACAGUGAAAGUUCACCAGUAAUGCCAACAGAAUUCAGCUCAGUGGAGAGUGCAAGCGAAUAGCAGAAGUUUCUCUAGAUUUUCAGUCUAAAAUGGAAGCAAAUUAUUAUAUUGAUAACAAAAAGAUAAAUUGUAAGAGCCUACUACUUUCUUGUUCUGCUCCAGCUGGAUUAAUCAUGGGUACAUGGGUACUGCUACUAUUUAUAUGUUAUGAAAACGUGGGUGGCUUCUUUUGUAUUAUCAGUUUUUGUAACAGAACCUAUAUGUUCUAUGCAUUAGAAAAGAAAACUGCCAAGAGAAGUACAGUUUCUAGUUUUAAAAACAGAUUUUAAAUCCUUAAGGUUUUCAUCUUCAUGCAACCAUAUCCUUCCUCUUGAAGUUAUAAUCAAAAUUAUAGAAAGGCUUUUUUAAUUUCCUUGAGACCCAAACAAACAAACCCCAACUAUUUCCCAUUGAUAUUUUAUAUUAAAAAUGUCUGAUUUUGAACAUCUGCUUCAGGAAUUGUCUUUAAAAGCCAGUAGGGAGAGUUUUGGUAUUUUACUACUUUUUUUAAAAAAAUAAAGGAUGCUGUCAUAUAACUUUCUGAUAGGGGUAAAAAGUGAUCUAAAAACUCUAAUAAAUAUUAAUGAAGCAUGAAACCCUACAUCUAGAGGUGGGAAACCCUACAUCUAGAGGUGAUUCCACUAUGAAGAAUUAUGUUUAUUUGCUGUAAAUGAUGUGGAUACUGUAAAAUUAUGUAGAGGACUUCAGUGAAAGCAAAAAGAGAAACUGGACCUUAAGGAUUUUUUAAAAUGUUUUCAGAAAUAGUGGUGAGGGAUUAGAUACAUUUCCCAUCCUUCAGAGACAAGGACAUUCUUUGUUAUGUGACACUGUUCUUUAGUGACAUAUAUUUACAUUUAAUGUAAUAAAAUCCCUACCAUCACCAGAAAGAGGCUUUUUUUGUAAUUGCCAUGAAAAAAUCACAAGAUAGUUAUUGUAUCACAAAAGACCACAUAUCCAUCUCCUUACAAUUAACUAAUUUCAUUCAAGAAGGACAGCAGUAUUCACCAUAUGGGGAAGGCUGGUAAGUACCUCUGGCAAGCUGGAGAAAACAAGUGAAUUUAACAUACUGUCCUAUGUUAUAAUAUUAACAUGUAUUCUCUUCCCACCCUCAAGAGCUGUUGAAACCAGGAGGAGCAUUGUUUCUUCCUUAUCUCCUGUUAAUGGGCCCAUCACAUGACUCAUAGAGUAAUAACAGUCCAUUGUGAGAUGCUCCGCCCAGGGAGGAAGACUACACCCUUUCUACAGGAUCACUGCUCCAACACAACUACAUCUGCCACGCCAGGAGGACUGCAGCCACCAAUCCAACUGGACUGCUACCAACACCCUGACCAACAGGCUGUCAGGUUGUAUUCUGACUUUGUCAGUGGUUUUUCUUUUGUAUUAUUGCAUGUAUUGCAUGUAUUUUGGUUUUCUUUUCCCUUUUCCUAAUAAAUUGUGUUUCUGAA